rnacentral:lncRNA from 1 species
GCACUCAUCCAAGAUCAAUAACAUGUGUUCUAUUAAAACUAUAAUUUACAUAGAAACGAUGGGAUCAUAAAUGUUAAAACAAUCGGCAAGAACCUGUCCAAUAAUGGCUUCGAGUAGCUAACUAACAGUCUAUAUACACAAACAUCUGAAAGGAAAAAAGGAGGCUAGAAAGCUAGGGGGUUCCCCUUUCACAACUGACUUUAUAAAUAAAAAAACAUCUGAAAGGAAAAAAGGAGGCUAGAAAGCUAGGGGGUUCCCCUUUCACAAUUGACUUUAUAAAUAAAAAAUUAUCAGGGAUGAUUAUUGAUGACUCGACAUGGAGGUACCAUUUUAUGAAGCAUAUUUGUCCCUUGGAAGGUCACAAACUGAUUGCAGUUCCUUCUGUAGUUGGCAAGCUGCAGGACAAGCGAAAACUCAAUAUUUCAAGUUGGAGGCGAGAUGUUAUGACAAGUAAUUCCGGUAAUGAAUUAUCCCCCAGAAACAUAAUUAAAACCCAACUUCAAAAAAUGCUAGACUGAAAAGUGGAAAAAAUUUCAAUAUCUACCACCUGGAAAGCAGUAAAACAAAUUUUA